rnacentral:RNase_P_RNA from 2 species
CGCGUGCAUUCGCUCUUUUCGAAAGAAGGGAGAGGAAAGUCCGGACACCAUAGAGCAGGAUUCCUUGUGAAAACGAGGGAUGUCAGCGUCAAGGCUGGCAGACAGACAGUGUCACAGAAAAUAAACCGCCGCUUUUUGCGGUCAGGGUGAAAAGGUGAGGUAAGAGCUCACCGCUUCUCUCGGCAACGAGAAAGGCACGAAAAACCUAAUCCGGUGCAAGACAAAAUAGGAAACCUCAGGGCGGCUCGCCCCAUUACGGUUUCGGGUUUGUCGCACUCUGCUUCGGCGGAGAAGGUCCUCAGGGCCUUAGAUAAAUGAAUGCAGGGCAUGUUAUGUGCCUACAGAAUCCGGCUUACAGCAAAAAAAGCCCG